UACGGAGGGACCAAGCGUUGUUCGGAUUUACUGGGCGUAAAGGGCGCGUAGGCGGCGUGGUAAGUCACUUGUGAAAUCUCUGAGCUUAACUCAGAACGGCCAAGUGAUACUGCUGUGCUAGAGUGCAGAAGGGGCAAUCGGAAUUCUUGGUGUAGCGGUGAAAUGCGUAGAUAUCAAGAGGAACACCUGAGGUGAAAACAGGUUGCUGGGCUGACACUGACGCUGAGGCGCGAAAGCCAGGGGAGCAAACGGG
rnacentral:rRNA from 1 species